GCCGGCAUGUGAUGUACAAAUCUAUAUCCUACACGCUCAAUGGAAUUACUUCCAUGUGUGGACUAACAAUCUCCGCUUAUUAUCUGAUGCCAUU